GCGGACGUGGCGGAACUGGUAUACGCAGCAGACUUAAAAUCUGCCGCCCGUGAGGGAUUACGGGUUCGACCCCCGUCGUCCGCACCA
rnacentral:tRNA from 1 species